rnacentral:rRNA from 1 species
GACGAACGCUGGCGGCGUGCUUAACACAUGCAAGUCGAACGAAGUGGCGAACGGGUGAGUAACGCGUAAUCAACCUGCCCUUCAGAGGGGGACAACAGUUGGAAACGACUGCUCAUACCGCAUACUGAAGGAGGGGAUUGCGUCUGAUUAGCUAGUUGGGGGGGGAACGGCCCACCAAGGCGAUGAUCAGUAGCCGGUCUGGGAGGAGGAACGGCCAACUUGGGACUGAGACACGGCCCAGACUCCUACGGGAGGGAGCAGGGGGGAAUCUUCCGCAAUGGACGAAAGUCUGACGGAGCAAAGCCGCGGGAGUGAUGACGGCCUUCGGGUUGUAAAGCUCUGUUAAUCGGGACGCGGUACCGGAAUAGAAAGCCACGGCUAACUACGUGCCAGCCGCCGCGGUAAUAC